AAACCGAUAUGGAUACGUGGGCGUAACGGCGAUACGGGGGAGUAACGGCCCGUAACGGUGCAAAAAUUUUUUUUUUUGGCCAAAAAAAUAUGGAUAAAAUCCGGAAUAUUCUAAGCAUUCCAAAUAUGCAUUCAUUUAUAAAUUGGAACAUGUUUAUGGAGGUGUAACGGCCCACUCUUUGGGGAGUUGUAUCGGACUGUCUGAUGAAUUUAUGAACCAGAUAACCUGAAUUUGACUGCAAAAUUCAUAUAUUUAAUUUUCUAACUAUCUAAUAUCAAUGAUAGAUAUAUUAGAAUGAAUGUAAUAUGAAAAUAUCUUACAUUAGGUGUUUGCAAUUAUUUUUGAGGGCCAAAAUUCAUGCGUAAAUAGAAAAAAAUAUAAAA